rnacentral:lncRNA from 1 species
AUUAGAUUUCAAAGAGUUAGUAUGAGGGAAGGUAAAAUUAUCUGGAAAUCUUUAACAUUAAACAAAUGUUUUAAAAAACAGUAUAAUUUGAUUAUAGAGGAUAAAAUAAAGUGGACAUACUAUUGAAAUAGAAAAAAGACUCCCUUUUGAGUGUACUUUCUCAGCUUCCUGUUGGUGGUUAGAGAUAUCACCUGCUGCUUGUGACCUUUUGAUUUUCAUUCUAUCAUGGAUUCUAACCCUCUAGAACCAUAAGCAUAAAAUAAACUCUGCCUUUUGUAGAAGAAAAAAAUGUAUUUGAAAAUUUAAAAUCAGGUUUUUCUAAAUAACAUUUCCUUUUUCAUUAACAAGCUCUUUUUUCAACUUCAAAAUUUGAAAAUCAUGUAACAGCAUAAAUAAUUUGUCACUAUUAAGAGAUAAGUAAACUUUAUUUAUAUUUUUUAUUUUUUUACCUUUUCAACAAAGCUAAUUAACUGUGCGUUUGCCCAUUUACAUGCUGCUCUCCACUGUGCUCCCUAGUUGGACUGCAUAAUGUAGCUCCCGAGCAUGUUUCUCCACGUCAUAGAAACAGCACUUGAAAACAUUCUUUGAAAAUACCAAGUUUUACUCCCAGUGAAAUAGUCUUUCAUAUAGGUAAAAUCUAAUUUAUUUACCCAAUUCUCUUCUUGAUAAAUAUUUAGAUCCUUUUUAUGAAUUAUACUAUUAUAAAUUAUAAUGCUAUGAAUAGAAUUGUGUAAAGCCCUUUAUGGGUAAUAUUUCCUUCUCAUUUCCCUGCCCACCUGUGAGAGGUGAUUUCUUACACAUACUCCUUUUAACAUAUGAGGAAACUAAGAACUCAAGAAAUUUGUUUGUUUUCUUUAAAAUCGCUGUCCUAGUUUGGGUUUAGCAGAAACACAGUUAGAUGGGGAUCCAAGUUCAAGGCGUUUAUUUAAGAGUUCUCAAGAAGCACUCUUCAGGGAGAUGUGAACCUGAUAUGAGAAAGGGAAGAUGACCAAGAAAGUAGUCUCCACCAAGCACGUUGGUAGCCAGAGCUUGAUCUCGCAGGGACAGUGCAGUCUCUAUCUCAGAGUUAGCCGAUUGAAGACCUGGGUCCUUUUCACCAAGCCUAGUCUCAACAGAGGCUGCUUUCAAAGAGUGUUAAUUUCUGUAUCUUUUUCCAUUCUGUGGUGCAGAGGCAGAUGUAGAAUGAUAGGGGAAAGCAGGCCCUGGUGGCAACAUCAGUGUAGGGCAUCAGAAGCGAGGCAGCAUUCACUACAGUGGUGAGUUCAAGGUAAACCUGGAGGCUAGCGGACAGACACACACACACACACACACACACACACACACACACACAUACACACACACACGCUGAUGGUGUCACAUGGCCAGACACCGUCAGGCUGGGAUGUGAAUGAAGAAGUGCUUAACUGAGGAGCUCAGGACUUCAGUGACCUGGCUUUGCAAAGAGAAAACCUCCCUGUGACUUUGGGCAAGUUACCUCAUCUGCUAAAGCUCCAGGAUUUGGUGAGGACAAUGCUUCAGACAAUAUCUAAGAGAAAGGCUAGUUGGUGGGGGGUGGGGGUGGGGCGCAAAGAGUGUGUCUCUGGGCAUUUGUGUUGAGGGCAAGACCAUCAUCUGUUUAGCAUUACUUACUGACCAUUCCAUCAUGUGGGUAGGAAUCACAUCUUGCAGAUAUUCAGUGCUUUCUUGGGACUAUCUAAUUAAAAGAAAUUAAAUAGAAGAUGAGCCUGUUCCCUGAGUUUAUGAGAUGAGUCGUUUUCCAGAUUAAUUACACAAUAUACAAAAUACACAUGGCUCAUUGAAAUACAGCACAAGUCCUUGAUGAAUUUUGGAGUAUUUCAUUUUUCUCUGGCAAGAGGGAGACAAAUAUACAACUGCUCAUCUCUAUGCACCGGCCGUCAUCAGGUCUGGAGUCCCCAAGGAAAGGGUUUAAUUGCUCCAUAAGCUUCAUAUUCAAGGGCUCCUCAGUGCUAAGCUCUUGCCGAACUGCAUGAAAGUAAAAAUGACAAAGAUAGCAAGUGACACAUUUAUCAAAUAUGCAGAUUCCGAAGAAGUCAUUGUGUGUUGCUCAUGCCAAUGAGGCUCCAGAUGGAACCUGGCACUCCUGCAGCCCUCCCGCCCAAUUUAAGGUCACAGGAAAGGGUGAGACCAAAGCAAACUGGGGAUUAAAAAUCCAUAUGGACUAACUACAAAAUCCAAGCUUAUUCUCUGAGGUCACCUAUUUCUGUGUUCUCUCCCCUGAGUAUAUUCUAAAAUUUAAUCAACUACUGGUAAGCAAAUUUUUUGUUUGUGUUUUUGAGACAGGAUCUCAUUGGAAUUCAGACUGGCCUAGAACCCACUAUGUAGCCCAAGCUGGCUUGCUUCAUACAUGAGGCAAUCAUCCUACCUGAGUGUCCAAGUGCUGAAAUUACAGGCAUGAGCCACCAUGCUUGGUGUGAGAAAGCAAGUGUGAUUUGAUUCCACUGAGCCAUUCUUAAGUGGCAAGCUCCCAGUGUAAGACUUCAACACCUAGCUCUACCCUGGUCCAUACCUGUAUACACCUUUACCCGUGUUUUAUUCUUUUAUAAUAUGAAAUAUAAAUUAAUGUUGCAAAGAUUUGGAUUUAUAAAUUAACAGGCUUAUUCUGAGACAGUACAACUUUCUGAUGAUUAAUUUGGAUUGUCAGCUCGAAUAGGCCAACAAAUGCCUAGUGGAUCAGUGAAGCAGAACUCUCUAGGUGUGUCUCUGGUAGCAUUUGCAAUGACAAUGGAUCCUGAAAGGUCUGACCUAAUGAAUGAAUUAGCCAUUGAUGGAUUAGCACAUGAUGAUGUAUUGGACAUGCUGAAGGUCGAGAGGUGGGACUGAAUUGGAGAAAGUAGGUCACUAGGGCAUGUCCUUACCCCAUUGAAUUCCUGGGUCCUCUGCUCUCAGCUUUCUAUCUGCCAAGAAUCAAAGAACAACCUCUACAACAUGUUCGCACCCCAAAAUGCUCUAUCCAAGCUCAAGGAUCAAAUAAGCACACACUGAGCCCUCUACAGUUAUGGGCAAAACUAAUUCUUAAAUUAUAAUGUCAGGGUUUUUUUUUUAUACUUUUUAUUUAAAGUCCAUUUUAAAAAAUUUGCAAACGAACAAAAAAUACUACCCACUAAGAUGAAUGAACCCCAAAGUCUAGUAGAAUAGCAGAGGGUGACUUCCUCUACUAUUGCUACUUUAUGUUUUGAAAGGCUGUCUCUCUGAAUCCAGAGCUCACCAGCUGGCUAGACCUGCCUGCUGAUGAGCUCAGGAAUUCACAAGUCUCCACCUCUCCAAUGCUUAGAUCACAGGUGUGUGCAGUCAUAUUCAACUUUUCCGUGGGAGCUGAGGGUCCCAAUUUAGGACCUUCUGCUUGGGCAGUGAGAGUCAAGGCAGAGGAGAGAGUAGAUGAAAGGACUGCCGCAUCACAGUCACCGAGGAUGCAAAACGAAGUUCUCAACCUUUGGAUCUUGACCCCUUUAGGGUGGUCUAUCAGAUAUCCCGCAUAUCAGCCAUUUGCAUUACAACUCCUAUCAGUAACAAAAUUACAGUUAUGAAGCAGCAGCGAAAAUAAUUUCAUGGUUGGGGUCACCACUGCAUAAGGAACUGUGUUAAAGGAUCACAGCAUUAGGAGGGUUAAGAACUACUGCUGUAAAUGUUCUAUGUCUUUGUGAGGAUAUGCCACAUUUUGGCAACUGUAAAGACACUUUAAAAUUCAUGGUUGCUAAUACCCUGAAUGGAAACUCUAAGGGUACGGCUGAGGCUCAACCAUUACGAACUUGGCAGGAGAGUGAGCAGCUUUGUUUACUGCUCAAUCCCUAGCCCCUUGAACCAUGCUCAGUGAUUUUACUAAUGAAGGGAUUUUUUCAGAUACUUCUUGUGUCGGUGAGAACCAUCUGUGCUUUCUAACCAGAGAGGAAAGUGUUGAGAAAGCUGAGAAGGUCUUGGGCUCCCUGGAUCUUGGAGUCUCUCCAGAUUUAGAGACCCGACUGGGGACUCAGCCGUCAGUAGGGAACCCUACUUAGAUUU